rnacentral:rRNA from 1 species
CGAAACCAGGUGAUCUACCCUUGGUCAGGUUGAAGUUCAGGUAACACUGAAUGGAGGACCGAACCGACUUACGUUGAAAAGUGAGCGGAUGAACUGAGGGUAGCGGAGAAAUUCCAAUCGAACCUGGAGAUAGCUGGUUCUCUCCGAAAUAGCUUUAGGGCUAGCCUCAAGUGAUGAUUAUUGGAGGUAGAGCACUGUUUGGACGAGGGGCCCCUCUCGGGUUACCGAAUUCAGACAAACUCCGAAUGCCAAUUAAUUUAACUUGGGAGUCAGAACAUGGGUGAUAAGGUCCGUGUUCGAAAGGGAAACAGCCCAGACCACCAGCUAAGGUCCCAAAAUAUAUGUUAAGUGGAAAAGGAUGUGGCGUUGCCCAGACAACUAGGAUGUUGGCUUAGAAGCAGCCAUCAUUUAAAGAGUGCGUAAUAGCUCACUAGUCGAGUGACACUGCGCCGAAAAUGUACCGGGGCUAAACAUAUUACCGAAGCUGUGGAUUGUCCUUUGGACAAUGGUAGGAGAGCGUUCUAAGGGCGUUGAAGCAUGAUCGUAAGGACAUGUGGAGCGCUUAGAAGUGAGAAUGCCGGUGUGAGUAGCGAAAGACGGGUGAGAAUCCCGUCCACCGAUUGACUAAGGUUUCCAGAGGAAGGCUCGUCCGCUCUGGGUUAGUCGGGUCCUAAGCUGAGGCCGACAGGCGUAGGCGAUGGAUAACAGGUUGAUAUUCCUGUACCACCUAUAAUCGUUUUAAUCGAUGGGGGGACGCAGUAGGAUAGGCGAAGCGUGCGAUUGGAUUGCACGUCUAAGCAGUAAGGCUGAGUAUUAGGCAAAUCCGGUACUCGUUAAGGCUGAGCUGUGAUGGGGAGAAGACAUUGUGUCUUCGAGUCGUUGAUUUCACACUGCCGAGAAAAGCCUCUAGAUAGAAAAUAGGUGCCCGUACCGCAAACCGACACAGGUAGUCAAGAUGAGAAUUCUAAGGUGAGCGAGCGAACUCUCGUUAAGGAACUCGGCAAAAUGACCCCGUAACUUCGGGAGAAGGGGUGCUCUUUAGGGUUAACGCCCAGAAGAGCCGCAGUGAAUAGGCCCAAGCGACUGUUUAUCAAAAACACAGGUCUCUGCUAAACCGUAAGGUGAUGUAUAGGGGCUGACGCCUGCCCGGUGCUGGAAGGUUAAGAGGAGUGGUUAGCUUCUGCGAAGCUACGAAUCGAAGCCCCAGUAAACGGCGGCCGUAACUAUAACGGUCCUAAGGUAGCGAAAUUCCUUGUCGGGUAAGUUCCGACCCGCACGAAAGGCGUAACGAUUUGGGCACUGUCUCAACGAGAGACUCGGUGAAAUCAUAGUACCUGUGAAGAUGCAGGUUACCCGCGACAGGACGGAAAGACCCCGUGGAGCUUUACUGUAGCCUGAUAUUGAAAUUCGGCACAGCUUGUACAGGAUAGGUAGGAGCCUUUGAAACGUGAGCGCUAGCUUACGUGGAGGCGCUGGUGGG